rnacentral:lncRNA from 1 species
CACAGCACAGUCGCUACACGUGUGCGGGGCAUCUAGGGACACAUCAGCCCUGGUGAGGGGCAUGGCAGCCGGUUCCAGGCUCCGUCCUUUUCAGAAUAAGUCACAGGACAGGUAAAUGAUCACCUUUGGCCCGUGGGUGAACUUGUGUACAUCCAAAUCCCAGAGGAAUGUUAUUUAUGAACAGUGCCGUUAACAAACAAAUAUUGCGGGUUUGUGGCGGGAGCCGGGGUGGGGGGGACAGGGGUGGGGGGCCCAGAGGUGAGCAGAGAAGGGCAUCUGUUGUCCCAAAGGGCCCAGCGUUGGGGUGGACUGCACCGUCCACGUCAUGAAGUGGAGGGCACACCACGUGUGGGGCUCAGGGGAGGGGAGUAGAAUGUUCCAGGAGUGGGUCAGAGGAGACUGAUUCCAGGAGGCACGUUUGAGCCAGGCUGGGGACGCUGGGGACCAGUGUCUGUCCCAGCGGUGGGGCCACCGCAGAGAAGUGGGCAAGGGAGAGGACAGACAGACGGAAGGUGGACCCAGAGGCGGGCGGGCGCUGGAAGCCAGGCUGGGGUGGGGUGCAGGCAGGGUUUGCCCAGGCUGCAAACAGACACGGGACAGUGGAAACCGGCUUAGAACAAUUCAGGAUUUAGUGGGCGGAGGAACUUGUGACUAGUUUGGUUGGGACCCAAUGAAAACCCGACACUGGGGUUGCCUGGGUGGCUCCAUCGGUGAAGCAUCCGACUCUCGAUUUUGCCUCAGGUCACGACCUCGCGGUUUCUGAGUUCGAGGUUGGCAUCGGAUUCUGCACUGACUGUGUCGAACCUGCUUGGAAUUCUCUCUCUCUCUCUCUCUCUCUCUCUCAAAAUAAAUAACCUUAAAAAAUUUUUUAAAAAGACCAUCAAAGAAGCAGGCAGAGACUUAUAUAUAAAGAUGUCGAAAGCAGGAGAUUAGAGAAAAACUGGAAAUACUUCAAUUGUCCCAUAACAAGGGAUUGAGAUAAAUUUGGGCUCAGCCAUACAGCUAAAUUCAACACCAGGUAGCAGCAAAAGGGCUCUUGCAGAUUGACAGGAACCUGCGAAGACUAUUCAUGACGCAUCCGUGCACAUGGAAAAUACACUGCACAACAUUACCUACCAACUGAUCUCCUUUUGGUAAAAACGCGUUUAUGUGAGUACAUUCAUUAACUACUCAGCUUUUUAGAGAAGGGACAAUCCAAAGAAUUAUUCCAUUUUAAUUGUGAUGAGCGAUCACUGGAAGAGUGUGUGCUCAGUGUGUGUGAUGGGGAAGAGACCCGACCAAUUAGCACUUGCGGGGUAAGUAAGAAUACACAGCAAAAUGCUUUGUGACUUUAAUUUUUCUUUUUUUAAAUUUUUUUAACAUGUAUUUAUUUAUGAGAGACCAAGAGUGCGAGCAGGGUAGGGGCAAACAGAGAGAGAGACACAAAAUUGAAGCAGGCUCCAGGCUCCGAGCUGUCAGCACAGAGCCCGACGCGGGGCUCGAACUCACAGACUGUGAGAUCGUGACCUGAGCUGAAGUCGGACGCCCAGCCGACUGAGCCCCCCAGGCGCCCCUAAUUUUUCUUUUUAAUUAGCUGUGUGUCCUAGGUUACUUGGGGGAGAAAUAUUUACUUUUCAAUAAUUUUUAAAAUGAAAAGGAAAGAAGCAAGUGUGAAAGUAAGAAAAAGGAAGGAAUGUGUGUGUUCAAGGACUCACGGAAGAGAGACCUUCCAGAAGACAGUCAACUGCAUCGGCUACUCUGAAAGACCCAACAGGAUGAAGACCAAGAGAAAGAAAGGAGGAAGCCACCGAUGACCUCGCCUUUCUUUGGGGAAACGUUUAUUUAUCACCGUUUAUCUCCAGCCACCUUUGUCUCUCAGCCCAGACCCACAUUUUCCAUGGCCUCCUCCUGAACAUCAUUGCCUUGCUAUUCCUUGGCUAGUUCAAGCUUAGCAUACCCCAAACAGAGCUCCACCCCUUCACUCCAGCCCCCCCAGCCCCUGAUCAGACAGACAGACACCAGACCCAUUCACCUGUUUUCUCCAUCCUCCUUGGUUACGUCACCAUCCACCCUCAUCCGCUGAGUAGCAUUCCAGAAUCUUCCCUUCCUCUCCCGGUGCACAUUUAGAUGACCCUUUAAAUAUCUCUUUGGCUAAUCUCUCCUCUCUAACCUCGAGGCUACAGCCUUAGGCCUUCCUCAUCUCUUAUCUAGACCAGCUCACCACCACCUUACCCCUGGUCCUCCCACUCUUAACCCGCCCUCCACACCUUCACAGACUCUGAAUGUCUUUGGACCAUUUGACUGACACAUAACACCCCAUUCCCAUUCUCCCCAGAAAAAAAGUCUUCCUUCUUUAAAAUAUCGCAAAUAAUAAGACAGUGAACAUCUGUGUCGAUACGACUCACUUUAAUCAUUCAGAUUAUUUCCUAGAGAUAAAUUCCCAGGGUUGAAGGCUAUGGGAUAUUGGUAUCUAUCAACACUUUCACACAUCUGAAACUGAACACGAACACACCUCCCACCUGCCCGCCCCCCCUUUUGGUCUCCAUCUUACGUGUCUUUUUUAAAAAAAACUUAAUUUUUGUGCCAUGACUCUGCUUGGAUUUUUUCUUCUCUUUUAAAUUGGGUCCCAGUGAUCUUUUUAUCGAGACAAAUUAUUUUGGUUUUAAAGCAGUAUGUGUCGAGGCCCCUUCCUCCCCCCUUUCUUUGUUUGUGUUUUGGUUUUGCUUUUACACACACACUGCUUCGGGUUAUAAGAACUUUUUUCUAACUGGCAGGCAUCUCACGACUUCUGUCAUGUGGCAACUUCUCCCCAGGGAGCUCUUUUAAAAAGCAGGGCAGGAGUGGGUGGGAAGUUGGGCCUGCUUUCUUCCAGGUGCUCCAAGGUGAUAGUAAAAGAAAAAAAAAAUGAAGAGAAGGCCAUCUGUGUUGUGGUGGGCACUUCAUUCUCGUCAGUCCUAAUGAGCUAUUUUCUUUCUUUCUUUCUUUCUUUCUUUCUUUCUUUCUUUCUUUCUUUCUUUCUUUCUUUUUUAAGGUUUAUUUAUUCUUGAGAGAGAGACAGAGACAGAGACAAUGCAAGCGGGGGAGGGACAGAAAGAGAGAGAGAGAGGGAGUCACAGAAUCCGAAGCAGGCUCCAGGCUCCGAGCUGUCAGCACAGAGCCCGACAAGGGGCUGGAACUCACAACCGCAGGAUCAUGACGUGAGCUGAAGUCAGACGCUUAACCGACUGAGCCACGCAGGCGCCCCAUCCAUUUUUUCUUUCUUUCUUUCUUUCUUUCUUUCUUUCUUUCUUUCUUUCUUUCAUAAAGAAAAAUUUAGUAGGCAAGGUCUCUGGAUCUGGAGAUACGGAAGCUCUCCCUUGAAUAGUUUGGGGCAGCCUUUGGACUGCCCUGGAAUUUGCACAAGGAUAAAACAAUCGCUGAAUAACUGGUUUCCUCUCCUUUUGUGGGAUUGAUUAGCAUUACUCAGGAAUCUUAUCCAAGGAUGUCAGUGCCAUGGGUGCUUAUAAAUGCUAGACUGAUCCUAUAUGCUCUCUUAAUUUUGGGCUAGCGGAGAGAUUCCAAAAGAACUUGGGUCAUUCGUAUAAACCACUGGCUUCUAAUAGGACUCACCAUCUCUAAGUUAAAUAGGCAUUUUUAGCAAUACAAGUUGCCCUCAAAUCAGGAAUAGUCUGGGAAUGUUGCUCGAACGCCUUUAUCAACUCCUUUCUGUUUUCCAAGUCCCUGACCCGCUUCCUCAUCCGCACAGAUGACCCAGAGAUGGUAAAGGAAUGUCUCUGACUUCGGAUACAAACACUCUUGUCCCCUCCUACUUACCUUGUCAUCUGCUCAGUAAAGGUUCUUGGAAGGAACUCUGACCCUCAUGGCCCAGAGCUUUUGCCCAUGCUACUGACUCUGUCCAUGUGCUCUCCACCCCCACCCCUUCCUUCCUUCCAGUUUCAGUUCCUGUAGUCCCUUCCUCAAAGCCUUCCUUUACUGCUCCCGGUGGGUCAAAGCCCCCCUUGUGGGUCUUCCUGGUACUGUGUACCUCUCCACAUACGUGCCAUGUCAGACUUGUGUAUUUACUUGUUCACUGUCGGUCUCUCCAAUGGGACUGGGUGUGAAGGAAGCAGGGCCAGUGUCCAUGAUUCUCUCCGGGAAUUAUUAUUACCCAAAGAGUGAUGAAGGCCAACGUGAUGAGCCCCACCAUGAGCGUUAUCUGCAAAGCCAAAGACAAGACGUAGCUUUAGAGCACCUGGGAGGUAGGAGGUCACACUGAUCACCAGACAGGUCUUGUGUUGUGAUUCCUCUAUUCCAGGGGUGUAACGACUGAGUAUUGAUACGUAAGAGAAAAGGAGACGGCAGCUACCCACAGAGAAGCACUCUCAGCAAGGCCUGUGGGCCACCCACGAAACACAGACCCACCACUUCUGGCUCCGUGACCAUCACCCCGCUCGAGGCCCCUGUCAGCUCUCCGGAGGAAGACCGUUCAAAGAUCUUCUCAUCAUGUGCCUCGUUUCCACUCUGGCUCUACCAAACCCACCUCCUAUGCAGCGGCUGGAACAAUCGUCUCACAAUCUAAGUAGAAUUGCAUCACUGCCCCACUCAUAGCAGAGUGAGACCUAUCUAUCUGCCCGUUGGAACGGGCCCCAGCCCCUGGCUAUGUCGCCUGCCUUGACUUGCCUUCCUCCCUCUCUCCAGCCCCAGCCGCUCCGCCUCCCUGGCUGCUUUUGGGAACCUCAGACACUCCAGCCCUGGGCUCGGUCUUCCGGGCUGCCCCUUCCCUUGUAGAGGUCUCCACUGAAUGGUCACCUGCUCAGAGAGGCUUUCCCUGGUCCUCAGGCAUGCGCUCGUCCUAUUUAUUUCAUGCCGUUCCUAGCUUUCGUCUCGGUCUGCGCUGUUGUUGACUUGCGUGUUGAUGUGUUUCCUACCCGUCUCUUCCUCCCAGGACGCACGUUGCAAGAGCCCUCUUAGGACAUGCCGAUGUGCUCGGUACCUGAACAAGGGAACAGGUUUGCCGCCUGGAAACACAAACACACUCUGAAUUAUCGGGAUUGAGUGGCAGAGAAAUACAGCAUGUUAGGGUUGCCAGGGUUUCAGGACUCAUCUGAUCCCAUGUAAUCUUCCUGAGGUGGGCAUCCAAACUCUGCCUGACCUCUUACAGGGCGUGAGAGCUACUUAUCACACAGUGGACCCAGGGGGAUAACCGAGCACUGCCAACGAGGUGACAUUAUGUCAUUUUCACGAGCUCCCUUAAAACUCCCACUCUGCCUGACCACUUAGCGUAACACUGAUCAAGCCCGUACUUGGGAGAUCGCGGAGGGGAGGGACAGACACGCAAAGAAAAUAAUCUAAGUCCGGGCCCCAAGUGUGAGGACUUUGGUAGAACAUUCCUUAGAAGGUCUCCAUUCUACCUAAGCCCCUUCCUAGCCGUCUCCAUGUUGCUGAGACACCUGUGCAGAUUAAAAGGAUUGAUGUUGGGACAAUGGCCAUCAUAGAGCCUGGCACACACUAAGUGCCCAAUAAAUGUUUGCCUCGGGUCUCUCACAGAGCAGGUGACUAUGGGGGAGGAGGGCACGGGCCUACCUGGCUCAAAACUACAUUUCCCAGCCUGCCCGGCAGCCGGUGGGACUGUCUGACCAAGCUCCUGCCAGUGUCAGCUGGGGUCAGAUAUGCACUUACUGGUAGGGCCUUAAAACACCGGCGUGGCCCCUCACCUCCCCUUCCCCUUCUCUGGGCCGACAAGCUUGUCCGGGACCCAGCUGCAACCAGUGAUGAGUCCAAUGUCCUGGAACGGGACAGGAAGGCAAAGAGUGAGACAGGGGAGCUGAGCUUCCUUGCCAGCCACUCGGCCUGGCUGUUGGAGGAAAGGCUGAGAGAUCCGUCUGUCAGUUAAGCCCGUGCAUCGGAGGCCUGUUUGUUACAACAGCCUUGUCCACAUCGGUGCUGAGACAAUGGGUAGGUGAGGGGCGCUGGGAAGUGGAGUCUGCGGGAAGGGAGGAGGGAGGGGGUGGGGGGAGGCCACAGAAUUCAAAGGUGAGGGGGAUUCUGUUGGAGCGCCCAGCGGAGGGAGGUGGGAGAGGGCGUGGGACAGAGGCCAUGACUCCGGUUUCAUGACUUGUCUAGUGCACAGCAGUGAGUGGGAGAACGGUAUUCGGGCAUCACUUCCUGGAAAGCCGUGGACAUUCUGGUAGAAGGGGGACCCAGGCUGAAGAUUCGGUGACAGCUGACUUCCUGGGAGCCCAUGGCCUCCUCCAGAGGUAGUCUGCAAAAGGACACAGAGAGCUGGACCCUGGAGAGACCCACCUCUGAGAAGUGAGAGACAGAGGCAGAGACCAAGAGGCAGAAAGGUCAAGCCCAAUGAACCCUGCCAGGCCACCGGACUGGGCAUCUCCUGUGAGGUCACUGGGCAUCCCCCAAAAGUCUUUCUUUUGUUAGCUCUGCCUUUAAUGUCUUUGGCCUUGGUGAAAACACAGCCAAGUAUUUAGGGAGAGGGAGACACGAUGUCUGCAAUUUACUUGCAAAUGGUUUGGAAAAAAACAUCUAUAGAGACAGAUGAAGGAAAUGCUACCACAUGGUCAGGAGAGGGGAAUCUGGUCGAAGGGCUGGGGGGGUUCUUUGUAAUAUUCUUGAGGCUUCUUUAAGUUUAAAAUGAUAUAAAGAUCUCCUUGUUUUAAAAAGAACACGUUGAGGAGAGAGCAGGGCGCAAGCGGACCGAGCUUCAGAGAGUGUACCCAGG